rnacentral:rRNA from 1 species
CAGUCGCCGCGGUAAUACAGAGGGUGCGAGCGUUAAUCGGAUUUACUGGGCGUAAAGCGUGCGUAGGCGGCUUAUUGAGUCGGAUGUGAAAUCCCUGAGCUUAACUUGGGAAUUGCAUUCGAUACUGGGUAGCUAGAGUAUGGGAGAGGAUGGUAGAAUUCCAGGUGUAGCGGUGAAAUGCGUAGAGAUCUGGAGGAAUACCGAUGGCGAAGGCAGCCAUCUGGCCUAAUACUGACGCUGAGGUACGAAAGCAUGGGGAGCAAACAGGAUUAGAUACCCCGGUAGUCCCUGUCUCUUAUAC